GACGAACGCUGGCGGCGUGCUUUACACAUGCAAGUCGAACGGAAAGGCCCUUCGGGGUACUCGAGUGGCGAACGGGUGAGUAACACGUGGGUGAUCUGCCCUGCACUUUGGGAUAAGCCUGGGAAACUGGGUCUAAUACCGAAUAGGACCACGCGCUUCAUGGUGUGUGGUGGAAAGCUUUUGCGGUGUGGGAUGGGCCCGCGGCCUAUCAGCUUGUUGGUGGGGUAAUGGCCUACCAAGGCGACGACGGGUAGCCGGCCUGAGAGGGUGACCGGCCACACUGGGACUGAGAUACGGCCCAGACUCCUACGGGAGGCAGCAGUGGGGAAUAUUGCACAAUGGGCGCAAGCCUGAUGCAGCGACGCCGCGUGAGGGAUGACGGCCUUCGGGUUGUAAACCUCUUUCAAUAGGGACGAAGCGCAAGUGACGGUACCUAUAGAAGAAGCACCGGCCAACUACGUG
rnacentral:rRNA from 1 species